CCCCAGCCAGGCUUACAUGUUUUUCAAAAUGCCACUGGGAAAAAAUGUCUUCCUGAAAGCCCACUGGGAUAAUUCUUGAAAUAACACCAUGAUGUGGUUGCAUUGCAUUACAUGCCUCUUUGGGUUGGUUGGUUCAGUUAUUAUUGGUGCAUAAUGAUGUACCCUAAACUCAAUGGCAUAAACAACAAUCAUUUUGUUAUGCUCAGUGGAUCCACGCUUCAGAAAGGAUACAGCAGGUUUGCUGUGACUCAUUAUAAUGUCUGGGAACACCUGAAUUCUGGAGGUAACUUGACACCUGAAAACACUGAAAUCAUCUGAAAGCUCAUUUUGCUUACAAGUCUAAUAGAUUGUGCUGGAUUCUUUAAUCUCUAAACUUCGUUUUUCUCUUCAGUAAUCUGGGGAUAAUUUUGGUGCCAGAUUCAUAGGUUUGAUAUAAAUUUUAUAAUUUUUGUAUAUAUGAAUGUAUGUAGGCAGGUAGGAAGAUAUGUGUUAUGUCCCUCUAUGAAAUUAACUGAACCAAUUAGACAAGGAUUUUAUUUUAUUUGCAUAAGUAACAGUAAAAUAUUAUGACACAUAGAAGGUGCUCUUUGAACAUUCCACAUAAAAGAAUGUAGAGAAAGUUCUUAUCAAUGGGCCCAGGAUAAAGUGAAGGCUCAAAAAUACGUGUUGGUGUAAAAAAAAUAUAUUCCCUAGACUCCAUGUUGUAGAGCAAAAUGGUUUUGAGCACAACCACUGAAAAUAGACCAUCUAAAUUAUUUUUUUAGGAGGGUGAAUGCAGUGCCCCAAUACCACAAAUUAUGCAGUACAAUUUGGGGAAAUCACAGAGGUCAGCACAUCUGGAGUGCAAUUGCUAAGUCUCACCCUUGGAAAAACCAUCUUUAUGAUCAUGUUAUCUCCCCUGCCAGAGUUUUAUUUAACCACUUUUGUAUAUGCAACGUAUAACAAUGAAGGGACCUAAGUGGAGCAUAAUUAUGGAGUUUAUAAUGGAAUCAGAUGGUUUCUAUCUGAGAGCAUCAGCAGAGAGGAAAAGGAAGAAGAAGAAACAAAUUUGAAGAAAAAGUUGAAGGAAAAAAGGAGAGGAGAAGGAAUAACAUGCUUAUUGGAUAGUAUUUUGAUAGUGGAGGUUGGAGGGUGUGUGUGUGACUGCAUGCAGGUGUUUUUGUAUAGACUAUGAUAAAGAGUAACUGUGGAACCAUGUGAUAGGAUACAAUUUAUUAUUGGAUACAUGUAGAGACAUGAUGGAUUUCACCCUGGAAAUCUCCUAUCCCCACCCAACACUGCCUGAAGAAGAAUCUGUGAAAAAUUUAAGACUACAUACACAAUGAAGAAAUAAAAGAAAAAUGAUUGGAGAAGACAAAUAAUACACUGUUUGCUCAGGGAAGAGAGAUGAGUUUUUAAGGUUAAGAGAUUAGUAAACAAGAGGUACCAGAGACUAUGGAAUGUGAGAGAAAUGGCAAAAGAGAAAAGUAACUGGAAAAAGGGAAAAGGGACUAUGAAAAUUAUUGUGGAGUUUCCAAAUCAAAUCCAUUAAAUACCAUUUGAGAAAGAAAAUGAAGAUCUGGCUUAAUUUUGUUGCUUUUAUUUUAUCAUAACAAAAAUGUUAUACCAGCAUGACUCAUGACUUGAUGAAAAUUAAACUUCACUGUUUUGGCUUCUACUAUUUCUGUUAAACUUUAUUUAGCAGGAAAAGGUUUUUCCCUGACAUCACAUUGAAACUUAGAAAAGCCUAUGUACUCUGUGUAAGAAAAUAGACGUUUAAUAGUUACCUUGUCACAUGUAUAGUCUCUAUUCAGUAUACAGAAUGUGCAGAAAAAUAUAUGAAUCAUAAAGUAGAAGCUGAUUUGACAGUAAAUUUUCCUUCCCAUAGCUUAAAUCAGAUCCCAAAUGGAAACUUAUAAUGGCAAUUAACAAGUUGCUUAAAAGUUGGAUUCUUCAUUACUCCUCUGCCUCCCUUUUCUCCUCCUCCCUUCUGGCUUAUUUAGCUAAAUUCUGAUCACUUCUGGAUCAGAUACAUAGACAAGAAGGGUGAAGUAUGAAGAGUAUAGGACAAGUUUCCCCUUAUUGCUUUGUCCCUGAGAAUGCCUAAUAUUUGUAUAUGACACUAUGUCACUGGGCUUG